rnacentral:rRNA from 1 species
UUUAAGGUCUAACCUGCCCAAUGAGGAUUUAAAUGGCCGCAGUAUUUUGACUGUGCAAAGGUAGCAUAAUUAUUAGUUUUUUAAUUGAAAGCUUGUAUGAAGGGUUGGACGAGAUAAAAUCUGUCUUUAUUUAAAUUAAAAUAUAAUUUAACUUUUAAGUCAAAAGGCUUAAAUACAUGUAAAAGACGAGAAGACCCUAUAGAUCUUUAUUUAAUUAAGGUUUUAAUAAUUUAGGAUUAUUUUAAUUUAAAAUUUUAAUUAAAUUUUAUUGGGGUAAUAUAAAGAUUAAAUAAAUUCUUUUUAUUUAUAACAUUGAUUUAUGAAUGAAUGAUCCAUUAAUGUUGAUUAUAAGAUUAAGUUACCUUAGGGAUAACAGCGUAAUUUUUUUGGAGAGCUCAUAUCGAUAAAAAAGUUUGCGACCUCGAUGUUGGAUUAAAAGUUAGCUUGGGUGCAGAAGCUCAAGAUUUUGGUCUGUUCGACCAUUAAAUUUUUACAUGAUCUGAGUUCAGACCGGCGUAAGCCAGGUCGGUUUCUAUCUUUACUUAGAUAAAAUAUUUUAGUACGAAAGGACCAAAUAUUUAAUAUAAUUAUAUUUAUUUUUUGAAGAAUAUU